AAAAAGUUUAGUUUUUUUGUUAUGUAAAUUUCUCACUUAUUAUGAGUAAUAGGAUAACUAUAUUUGGUAUAUGGGUUCCUUGCAACGUCUACAUGUCCAUCAUACAGGGUUCACCUGACCUCAGCCUCAUUUCAUGGAUCAGUGAUCAAGGUUAAAGUUACGUGAUUAGGUCCGUUUCUCAGAUACUACAAGCAGUAGGUCAGCUAUAUGUGGUGUAUGGAAUGAUUAUAAGGGAUACAUGUCAGUCUGGCAGGUUUCAUCUGACCUUGACCUCAUUUUCAUGGUUCAUUGGUCAAUGUUAAGUUUUUGUGUUUUGGUCUGUUUUUCUAAUACUAUAAGCCAUUGGUCAACUAUAUUUGGUGUAUGGAAUGAUUGUAAGGUGUACAUGUCUGUCUGGCAGGUGUCAUUUGUCCUUGACCUCAUUUUCAUGGUUCAUUGGUCAAUGUUAAGUUUUGUGUUUUGGUCUGUUUUUCUAAUACUAUAAGCAAUAGGUCAACUAUAUUUGGUGUAUGGAAUGAUUGUAAGGUGUACAUGUCUGACUGGCAGGUGUCAUUUGUCCUUGACCUCAUUUUCAUGGUUCAUUGGUCAAUGUUAAGUUUUUGUGUUUUGUUUGGUCUGUUUUUCUAAUACUAUAAGCAAUAGGUCAACUAUAUUUGGUGUAUGGAAUGAUUGUAAGGUGUACAUGUCUGUCUGGCAGGUGUCAUUUGUCCUUGACCUCAUUUUCAUGGUUCAUUGGUCAAUGUUAAGUUGCUCUUGUUUGGUCCUCUUCUCAGAUACUAUAAGAUAUAGGUCAACAAUAUGUGGUGUAUGGAAUGAUUGUAAGGUGUGCACGUCUGUCUGACAGGUUUCAUCUGACCGUGAGCUUAUUUUCAUGGUUCAUUGGUCAAUGUUAAGUUUCUGUUGUUUGGUCUUCUUCUCAGAUGCUAUAAGUAAUAGGUCAACUAUAUUUGGUGUAUGGAAUGUAUUUUAUUAUUUAACUGCUGAUUACUUACAUUGAAAUAGAUUAUUUUAUAAAAAUCUUUAAAUAACAUUAAUAAUGAUAAUAAAUAAUAAAAACUUUUAAGGGAUCAUUACUAAACCGUGAUUAACAAAAACAUUGGAAGGUGUGAAAAUGUUAAAAUAAGGUCACUCAUGCAUGAAUGUUUAACAUAGAAUACAGUUCACUCCAGUCCCUUCAUAAAGAUUAAUUGGCUGAAUAUGUACAGAUUGAAGAACUUUUGAAAUUUUGUUUGCACAACAGAAUCACAUUUACUGAUUUUUGAUACAUAUGAAAUAAGAUAAGUAUUGAGAUAAGUAAAAAAUAUUUUAGCAUAGCAACAUAAAUAGAUAAAUAGAUAAUAUGAAAAUAUGACUUUUUACAAUAUUUUGAUCAAAGAUUGAAGAUAAUUUUAUUUUUUUAAUUUUUUUUUUGGGGUGUUUUUCUUAAACUAUAAGUAAUAGGUCAACUAUAUUUGUUGUAUGGAAGAAUUGUUAGCUGUACAUGCCUGCCUAGCAUGGUUCAUCUGACCUUGACCUCAUUUUCCUGGUUCAUUGGUCAAUGUUUAGUUUUCUUGGUUAAUGUUAAGUUUAUGUGACAGUUGUAAUAAAGCUUUAUAUUUAGGACUAUCAACAUAAUAUCAAUGAUUAGUAAAGAAGGCGAGACAUUUCAGCGUGUGCACUCUUGUAUGAUUUUAUAAAUGAACUUGCAUGUAUCUACAAAGAUGUUAUUUGUGGGGGAAAAUAUUAUAAUCAGAUGUUUUAUUUUGUUUUUAUUCCUUACCAAAUCUUAAUUUUUGUUACCUUAAUUUGAUUAUAUAUUUAUAUAUAUCUUAUAAAAGAAUAUAAGCAAGCUUUUCAUGCUUAAAGCAUGAUGACAGUAUUAACAAAAUGGAGAGCCUCUAAAAAGUUACACCAAUAAGUAUUUACAGAAUACAUUUAAUAUUUACUUUUUUCUUGAAAAAACACAGCUUAUGACUUUCAAAAUAUGAAAAUAAAAUUAGAUAAAAUAUAACAAUAAAGAUCUUUACUGAUGAAAAGGAGAACUUUUUAAUAAAAUCUCUAUACUGAAUUUUGCAUAAAACUACUUUGUAGUUUUUAAAAAUGUUAUACUAGUAAUGUCCAGUGGAAAAUAUUACUAAGGUUACUCAUAGAAAUUGAACAAUGAAAAAUACAAAAUCAUGUAUACAAUAAGUUCAGUAAUCACAUGACAUAAAACUUAAAUGAAGUCCAAGUUUGUUUGCUGGUCAGCGUUAUUUAAAUGAGAAAAGUCAGAUGAUAUAAUGAAACAGGUUUAAAGCACAUGUCUUAUGUUUUUGUUUUGCAUGGAAGGCUGUUACAUUAUUCAUACUUACUCCAUCAAGUAUUUUAUAUAAAAAAAAAUAGAAGUAACAUAGAGACCUAAUGGGUAACUUUUUUGAUUAUUGGCCUAAAAUUAUGAUAUUCAUAGUCAGAGUUCGUAUAUAUCAUACAUUAACAUACAUCAAGAAAAAAAAUGUUUAUUUGUAAAAAUGAAUUUUUAAGAAUUAUUUUCUGAAGAUUUAUAGAAGUCAAACAGACUAUAAUAGAUUGAGAGAAACUUUAAGUUGCAAAAAUGAUCAGCAAGACAAGAUCUACAUUUCAGACAAUAUGGAGGAAAUUUUCCAACAACUCCUUAUUGGAGUUAUUGACCUUAAAUGACAAUUUUUACCAUUUUUUUUGCGUUUUGCCUUCAAUAUAUGAUAAAAAUUAUAAUAGAUAAAUAGAAAAAACUUUAAAUAACAAAAAUGAUCAGCAAGGCAAGAUCCACAAAUGUCAAAUUUUGUCAAUAUAGUUGGUAGACUUGUCACUCUUCUUAAGAGUGAUUGCCCUUAAAUGAGGAUUUUUUUACCCUCUUUUGUGUUUUGAGCAAAAACUAAAGAAGAUAGAGAGAAACUAAACAGACAAAAUGAUCAGCAAUACAAGAUCAACAAAAAAGAAAUUUCUGUCAUGAAUUCUAUUCUUGUCUACAAUGUUGGAGAGUCCAUUGUUGAUUAUGCACAUAGACCUAGGUGAGCCACACAGGCUCUUUAGAGUCUCUGGUUUGUUUUUAAAUAAAGCAUGUUAGAAAUUUACAUGUGGCUAUUCACUGCCAUACUGCACAGCAUGCACACAUAUAGUGAGGAAGUAAUGGAAAAAUAGCAAUUUACUCAGAUAGAACAUUUUGCUUAUUUCUUCUUAAUAUAUAUGUAUUUGCAUGUAUAUUAGGUAGUUAGAAAUUCCUGCAACAUAUAUUUACAUGUAAAUUAGGUAAAGAGAAAUUCCUAAAACAUGCAUGUGCAUGCUUUAUUGUUAGUUAUACACACACAGCUCAUAUACUGUAACAUAUUCAUGUACCUGUCCAGGAACCUUGUCAGUAACUGUCUUAGUGUUUAUGUUUUUGUUGUUUAGAGAGUUUUAUUUUUAUAGGUCUUUUAUAGCUUCUGUUUAAUUGAUUCACAUUUUUUUAAGACACUGGACAAUUUAGAGCUCGACAUAUUGGUAUAGACACCUGUCUAUUAUUCUUGACCACUUGAUGUUGAUAUGUUUUUUUUUGUUGUUGGAUUGCUGGAGUGUCAUUCAUAUAUAUAUAUAUAUAUAUAUAUAUUCUACCACUGCAUCAGAUGUGAUACUAUAUUUCUCCACUCGAGACAGUUAAAUUUUCAAAUUUUAAACACAAGGCUAAUUUCCUAGAAUUUAAAUAUUUAAAAUUCAACUGUCGAGAGUUGAAAAUUAUGGUAUUGCACAUGAUUUAGUGUUGGAAUCUAUUUUUCUCUAAUGGUUUAUAGAUGAUAUGUAGAUAAAUUUAAUCCUUCUUUUCCAAUGUUCUGCAAAAAGAUGUGUUCUUUCUAUAUAAAUAAACUCGUCAUAGAUACCAGGAUUGAAAUUUUAUAUUUACGCCAGACGCGUUAUAUUAUGCCAUCAUUUCAUGGUCACCAGUGAAUAUAUAUAUAUAUACUGUUGCCAAAAUUCAAAAAUUUUGUUGGUUUUUUUUGGGGAGGGGGGGUUGUUUUUUUUGUUUUUUCAGAUUGUUAUUUUUUUUUUUACCUUUCUCCAAAAUACGGGUCUUCUUUUAUUGCUCAACAAUUUUUUGAAAACAAUGGAUAAGUUAUAAUAUAGUAAUUCAGAUUACUAACAAGAACUUACCAGUUUAUUUAUAUACUACUAAUGUUAAACGAGGAUGUGAUAAGGUAUUGGUAAUUUCUGUAUCUAACUUACAAAUGCUAAAAUUUUCAAUAAAGUAUGACACAAUUUUUUUUUAAAAAGGAACGGGGAAAUUGGAAAUCGUUUCUGGCAAGGUCAAUAUUGGAUAUUCAGAAAUUAAUCUGUGCGUUUAUCACUGAUUACUGGUAAAAAUAUGAGAUCUAAUUGAUGGGAUUGCAAAAAUUUGUGAAAAUAAGAACUCAAGGUUUAAUUACUGCGAUCCUGAUAUUGUUGCAUGUUUUUCACAUUAAUAAAAACAUUGCAUUAAUUUCUGAAUUUAUAAAGCUCCUCAAUAGCUCCAUACUACAGUCAUGAAUAUUAUAAUGAUGGUUAGGAUAGGGUUUACGGAUAGAGGGGGGAUAGAGAAUAAUAAACAAAACGUGCAGAAUAAAGGACAAAAAAAAUAAAGAAAAGAGAAAAAUAGGGAAAAACAAAUAAAGAAUAGAGAAUAAUGGGGUGCUAAAAUAAAAAGAAAAGAGAAAAAUGGGGAAAAGAGAAAAAGAAUAGAGAAAAAUGAUCUAAAAAAACAAAGAUUAAAGAAAUGAAAGUCCCCAUCCAGACCCUCUAUAUAAUAUUAAUGUCAGCUGUUUUUUAAGCACUAUUCUUUAUAAAUAUGUAACCUGGUAUAUUGUAGGGUAGAAUGAGUGUAAGUUCAAACUUUUUAAUUUAGAAGAAUUUAGUAUUAUCACAAUCAACUAACAGAAGUUGUUACUGCUUGUACUAAAAUUUCUUGAAAUUUCUGUUUUGCAGAAUUUUUUAAUAUCAUGUGGAUAUCUUGUUUUGUAUUAAGCAUUGUGGACAUUAAACAUAGAUUGCUUAGAAAUGUGCAAUACUGUUAAUUUUCAAAAUCUUGAAAGUUGUGAAUAGAAAAAUGAAAUAAGUUUUAUUUUAAUUGAAGGAAAAGCUUCAUACAGAACUUACCAUCAAUAUUUAAAAUAUAGUCAAGAAGACACUAAUCCUUUCACAUCGCAAAGAUUUCUGAAUUAACAGUAUUUGAUUUGCCUUUUUAAAUUAAAGUUAGCAUGGUAUGAUUUUUUGCUAUUUUUGCUAUUUAGUUUUUCAUAAACAAAACAUUUUGGGGCAUUCCAUGCUGGAUAAUUACAUAUAAGAUUAUAUAUAAUCAAGUUUCCAAAAAAUAGUAGCUAAAAUCAUCUAAAGUCAACCUUCGUUUUGUUAAAUUUACGAUAUUUAUCAACUGAAAAUUGAUUCAAAUGUUUGUAAUUAACCUGUCUAAAGACAAUACAUUACUUUGGGUCAGAUGAUACCCUGGACGAACAGUUCAUCAAGUGUGGUAUAUUCUCUGGUUAGGUUGUACAAGUACUCCAGACUAACAGUCCAUCGAGUGAGGUAUAUAUUCUGGUUAGGUUGUACAAGUACUCCAGACUAACAGUCAAUCAAGUGAGGUAUAUACUCUGGUUAGGUUGUACAAGUACUCCAGACUAACAGUCCAUCGAGUGAGGUAUAUAUUCUGGUUAGGUUGUACAAGUACUCCAGACUAACAGUCCAUCAAGUGAGGUAUAUAUUCUGGUUAGGUUGUACAAGUACUCCAGACUAACAGUCCAUCGAGUGAGGUAUAUUAUCUGGUUAGGUUGUAAACAGUACAAGUACUCCAGACUAACAGUCAAUCAAGUGAGGUAUAUUCUCUGGUUAGGUUGUACACAGUACAAGUACUCCAGACUAACAGUCCAUCAAGUGAGGUAUAUACUCUGGUUAGGUUGUACAAGUACUCCAGGCUAACAGUCCAUCAAGUGAGGUAUAUACUCUGGUUAGGUUGUACAAGUACUCCAGACUAACAGUCCAUCGAGUGAGGUAUAUACUCUGGUUAGGUUGUACAAGUACUCCAGGCUAACAGUCCAUCAAGUGAGGUAUAUACUCUGGUUAGGUUGUACAAGUACUCCAGACUAACAGUCCAUCGAGUGAGGUAUAUUAUCUGGUUAGGUUGUACACAGUACAAGUACUCCAGACUAACAGUCCAUCAAGUGAGGUAUAUACUCUGGUUAGGUUGUACAAGUACUCCAGACUAACAGUCCAUCGAGUGAGGUAUAUUCUCUGGUUAGGUUGUACACAGUACAAGUACUCCAGACUAACAGUCCAUCGAGUGAGGUAUAUACUCUGGUUAGGUUGUACAAGUACUCCAGACCAACAGACCAUCAAGUGAGGUAU